rnacentral:rRNA from 1 species
GAAACGACUGCUAAGACUGGAUAGGAAAAGUGAAGGCAUCUUUACUUUUUUAAAAGACCUUCUUUGAAGGUAUGCUUAAGGAGGGGCUUGCGACACAUUAGUUAGUUGGCAGGGUAAAGGCCUACCAAGACUAUGAUGUGUAGCUGGACUGAGAGGUUGAACAGCCACAUUGGGACUGAGACACGGCCCAAACUCCUACGGGAGGCAGCAGUAGGGAAUUUUCGGCAAUGGAGGAAACUCUGACCGAGCAACGCCGCGUGAACGAUGAAGUACCUCGGUAUGUAAAGUUCUUUUAUUAAGGAAGAAAAAAGAGUGGAAAAACUCCCUUGACGGUACUUAAUGAAUAAGCCCCGGCUAAUUAUGUGCCAGCAGCCGCGGUAAUACAUAAGGGGCGAGCGUUAUCCGGAAAUUAUUGGGCGUAAAGGGUGCGUAGGCGGUUUAAUAAGUCUAUAGUUUAAUUUCAGCGCUUAACGCUGUUGUGCUAUAGAAACUGUUUUACUAGAGUGAGAUAGAGGCAAGCGGAAUUCCAUGUGUAGCGGUAAAAUGCGUAAAUAUAUGGAGGAACACCAGAGGCGUAGGCGGCUUGCUGGGUCUUUACUGACGCUGAGGCACGAAAGCGUGGGGAGCAAACAGGAUUAGAUACCCUGGUAGUCCACGCUGUAAACGAUGAGUACUAAGUGUCGGGUAAAACCGGUACUGAAGUUAACACAUUAAGUACUCCGCCUGAGGAAUACGUACGCAAGUAUGAAACUUAAAGGAAUUGACGGGACUCCGCACAAGCGGUGGAUCAUGUUGUUUAAUUCGAAGAUACACGAAAAACCUUACCAGGUCUUGACAUUUUCUUGCGAAGUUAUAGAAAUAUAAUGGAGGUUAUCAGGAAAACAGGUGGUGCAUGGUUGUCGUCAGCUCGUGUCGUGAGAUGUUGGGUUAAGUCCUAAAACGAGCGCAACCCUUGUCGUUAAUUGCCAGCAUGUAAUGAUGGGGACUUUAACGAGACUGCCAAUGAAAAAUUGGAGGAAGGUGGGGAUUACGUCAAAUCAUCAUGCCCCUUAUGAUCUGGGCUACAAACGUGAUACAAUGGUUGAUACAAAGAGUAGCUGAAACGUGAGUUCUUAGCCAAUCUCACAAAAUCAAUCUCAGUUCGGAUUGAAGUCUGCAACUCGACUUCAUGAAGUUGGAAUCGCUAGUAAUCGUGAAUCAGCAUGUCGCGGUGAAUACGUUCUCGGGGUUUGUACACACCGCCCGUCA